AGUACAUUGGCUCAGUGGUAGAGCGCCGCACUGUCACUGCGGAGGUCACGGGUUCGAAUCCCGUAUGUACUG
rnacentral:tRNA from 1 species